rnacentral:rRNA from 1 species
CCAUAUCGGUCUGGAAUAACAUGAGGAACUGUGCUAAUACCGGAUAAGCCUUUACAGGGAAAGCUUUAUGCUCCGAUUGAUGAGUCCACACUUGAUUAGUUAGUUGGUGAGGUAAUAGCUCACCAAGACAAUGAUCAAUAGCUGAUUUGAGAGGAUGAUCAGCCACAUUGGGACUGAGACACGGCCCAGACUCCUACGGGAGGCAGCAGUGGGGAAUCUUGCACAAUGGGGGGAACCCUGAUGCAGCGAUGCCGCGUGAGUGAAGAAGGCCUUUGGGUUGUAAAGCUCUUUCGUCGGGGAAGAAAAUGACUGUACCCGAAUAAGAAGGUCCG